AAGUCGUAACAAGGUUUCCGUAGGUGAACCUGCGGAAGGAUCAUUAACACGUAUCCAAACGUUAACCCCCCUGUGAACCUUUAGUGUGCUCGUACGCUUUGUCAGAGCGUGGCAAUCCCUAGUAAAUCAUCGCCGAACAGUUUUCGAUUUAGGGACUUCCACAAAGAGUGUGCUCGUAGCGCGAGGCAAGUGGCCUGGCAUUCCCAAGCAGUUGGUGUCUGAAAGUGUCACUGGCUGUCUAAGGAUGGCGCAGUCACGAUCGUUGGAGGCCGACACGGCCGACGACCGGGUCACCGGGCUCACGCCCCUUAAUCACAACUUAAUGCAUGUCAGACGCGCCUGCGCUUAAUUGUGCGGCGACCAUAAAACUCGAACAACUGUUAACAAUGGAUAUCUUGGUUCUC
rnacentral:misc_RNA from 1 species